CCUACGGGGGACAGCAGUGAGGAAUAUUGGUCAAUGGUCGAGAGCCUGAACCAGCCAAGUCGCGUGAGGGAAGACGGUCCUAUGGAUUGUAAACUUCUUUUGCAGGGGAGUAAAAAGCGUUACGUGUACCGCUUUGAGAGUACCCUAAGAAUAAGCAUCGGCUAAGUCCGUGCCAGCAGCCGCGGUAAUACGGAGGAUGCGGGCGUUAUCCGGAUUUAUUGGGUUUAAAGGGUGCGCAGGCGGCGUGUUAAGUGGGCGGGAAAAUUUCGGGGCCCAACCCGGACAAGCCGUGGAAACGGGCGUGCUAGAGUGGGCGGAAAGUAUGCGGAAUUCGGGGUGUAGCGGUGAAAUGCUUAGAUAUCACGAAGAACUCCGAUUGCGAAGGCAGCAUACCGGAGCCCAACUGACGCUCAGGCACGAAAGCGCGGGUAUCGAACAGGAUUAGAUACCCUUGUAGUC
rnacentral:rRNA from 1 species